rnacentral:rRNA from 1 species
UACGAAGGGGGCUAGCGUUGCUCGGAAUCACUGGGCGUAAAGCGCACGUAGGCCGGUAUUGAUAGUCAGGGUGAAAUCCUGGAGCUCAACUCCAGAACUGCCUUUGAUACUGGCGGAUCUCGAGUCCGGGAGAGGUGAGUGGAACUGCGAGUGUAGAGGUGAAAUUCGUAGAUAUUCGCAAGAACACCAGUGGCGAAGGCGGCUCACUGGCCCGUACUGACGCUGAGGUGCGAAAGCGUGGGAGCAAACAGG